ensembl:miRNA
UGUUGCACUGCAUGGUAUCUGCAUUCAGCAGUUUGUUCCUGCUGGCUGUUCAAAAGACAGUGCGAUA